CAGUGUUUCCCAUACAUAGACCAUUGUGUGGCGCGGCGCCACAGAAUCAACAUCGAGCGCCACGAAUUGAUUUGGUCUUUUUUUAAUUUAUUUUUUUAAUAACGCGAUUUGGAAAUCUAAAAAUCGUUCCGUCCAUUCAUCUCCGCAUAGCACUCGUUCUCCCUGUCAUUCUCGUACACACACACACACACACACACAUACACACACACACACACACACACACACACACACACACACACACACACACACACACACACACACACACACACACACACACACACACACACACACACACACACACACACACACACACACACACGGAGCGAGAGCGACGAUACGCUAACACAUGAACCCACCGAUGUCACCCAUCGCUUAGCAACCGGACACGCUGGGGUUGAUAAGUUACCGGACUACUGUAACUACUACGGAGUGAUAAUAACAAAGACGUGAAUCAGGCAAUAAAUCCACUUUCCUUGACAGCGGUAAAGUUCGGUGUGCAUUAAAGUACAGACGGAGUGGACCAAUUGCGUCUGCGGCUGCUCUAAGUUAAACCCCAAACUAAUCGGAAUAAGUGUUUAUAGCGGACUACACCACCUCUUCUAUUCCGCAUAGCAUUCUAUUCCGAACCGAUUGAGUAGGCCUAUAUAUAUGAUACUUUUCUAUUCCGAUUGAGCUGUUCUUCCACAUCUAUGCGGAUCAGAUGUGUAAACGCGGAGUUACAUGCACACUCACUGACGGCUGAUUCGCCCGCUCCUCCUGUCCACGCGCAAUGCUUGAGGUAUUUGAGAAAAAUAUAUUUGGCACAGAGAAGACGGUCUGCGACCUUUGCAGUUUACCAAAGGUUAGUAUGAUAUACUGUGGUCUAACACACCUUCCCAAUUUUUUUUUUAACUCAGAAAAGGUAAUAUUAGCUUUAUGAACUCAACGUUAUUGAUAUUGAACAUCCCGCACCCGUCAUCAUAGACGUCGUUGGUAACGCAGCGAACACUGCGAUUAAGAUGAAAUGCGGUUAUAGUUUAGAUAGGCCUAUACGGUGCCCAUAUCAAUUAGAACAGAAAACAUUUAUUACAUUCUGUUCUUAACAUUAUUUUAUUCUGACUCUGAAUGUUUGUUGCUUUAAUCCAGAUGAGUAUUGAAAAGUUCUUUCUGCACCAAAAAAGGCCUCGUCCAGACGAGACGGAGCAGCUUGAGGAGGCAUCAAACAGUGCUGAACAACCCAGUGCUUCUCAGGGGCUGGGCUGUUCAGGAGAGAUAGUGAUUAAUAUAGGCCAGGAGGACAGCAGACAAAAUGUUGCUGAAACAACAGGUGAGGUGGAAACAGAUUAGUGUAGAUUUU
ensembl:lncRNA